GCCCCCGGCCAUCAGCAGUUCACUUUUUCCGUAAAUUUGCAAUAAUUUCAACCAAAUGAACGCAGAACGAAAGCGGUCGCUUGCAUUGUCUGCAGUUUGAUGCUGAUUAAAAUGUUGUCCAAGAUUAUUAUGGAGAAUCCACCGGCCUGGUGCUGCUGUGGUCCCACGUGUUGCCGGAGCAAUAGUAAGUGGCACCUACUGUACUCUCGCAACAGCGAUGUCAAGACUGUCUGCAAGCCAUGAUCAAAGGUGGUUCAGCCUGAGGAAAUUCUGGGAAGAGCAACUUCUUUUUAAAUGAUUCCACUUCCAUUACCGAAUCGUGGAACGAAAAAACCCGCCCCUGAUUUAAGAAUUGUUGCAACCAAUAAUGAUGUGAUGGUGGCCUAAGAAAAUUGGAAACCUCGGCUACUCCUUCGUUCGGUUGUUGUUCAGCUCAGACAGUCCCAUAGAGAUGAGAAGUUACUCCUUGUGGACCCAGUAGCGGAUUGAGGUCAGGGCGAUUGCUUUUUAAGAUAAGAAAUAGCAUGCGGCCUUCAUCUACAGGAAUCAAAAUUACUAUUUUGAAUGAAUGAAUGGCUUUAUUUUGGGAAGAUUCUGGAGGAAACCAAUUUAAUUUGAGUUUGAACCAUUGAUGCAUGGAUUGUGGCAUGGCCCUCUUGUGAGCUAAUGCCAGUGGCAGAAUUCUGGAGAACAUCGACUGACUAAAAACUACCACAAUUAUUCCGUGAAUGUUAUUCCUAAUUGAUGAAUAAAAACAAAAGUUUUACUUGUAAUAUAA